rnacentral:rRNA from 1 species
AAACCAACAGGGAUUGCCUCAGUAGCGGCGAGUGAAGCGGCAAGAGCUCAGAUUUGAAAUCGUGUUUCGGCACGAGUUGUAGAGUGUAGGCUGGAGUCUCUGUGGAGCGCGGUGUCCAAGUCCCUUGGAACAGGGUGCCUGAGAGGGUGAGAGCCCCGUGGGGUGCUGCGCGAAGCUUUGAGGCCCUGCUGACGAGUCGAGUUGUUUGGGAAUGCAGCUCUAAGCGGGUGGUAAAUUCCAUCUAAGGCUAAAUAUUGGCGAGAGACCGAUAGCGAACAAGUACUGUGAAGGAAAGAUGAAAAGCACUUUGAAAAGAGAGUGAAACAGCACGUGAAAUUGUUGAAAGGGAAGGGUAUUGGGCCCGACAUGGGGAGUGCGCACCGCUGUCUCUUGUAGGCGGCGCUCUGGGCGCUCUCUGGGCCAGCAUCGGUUCUUGCUGCGAGAGAAGUGGUGCCGGAAAGUGGCUCUUCGGAGUGUUAUAGCCGGUGCCGGAUGUCGCGUGCGGGGACCGAGGGCUGCGACAU